rnacentral:rRNA from 1 species
AUGGUAGGAUAGAGGCCUACCAUGGUGGUAACGGGUAACGGGGUGUUAGGGCACGACACCGGAGAGGGAGCCUGAGAAACGGCUACCACAUCCAAGGAUGGCAGCGGGCGCGCAAAUUACCCAAUCCCGACACGGGGAGGUAGUGACAAUAAAUAACAAUACGGGGUUCUUUAGGAUCUCGUAAUUGGAAUGAGUACAAUUUAAAUCUCUUAACGAGGAACAAUUGGAGGGCAAGUCUGGUGCCAGCAGCCGCGGUAAUUCCAGCUCCAAUAGCGUAUAUUAAAGUUGUCGCAGUUAAAAAGCUCGUAGUUGAAUUUCGGGGUCAGUAGGUCGGUCGUGCCACUGGUAUGAACUGGUUUUACUGAUUCCUCCCUCUUGAAGAACUGUAAUGCCAUUAAUUUGGUGUUGCAGGGAAUCAGGACUGUUACUUUGAAAAAAUUAGAGUGUUUAAAGCAGGCUUUAGCUUGAAUACAUUAGCAUGGAAUAAUGAAAUAGGACGUUUGAUCCUAUUUUGUUGGUUUCUAGGAUUGACGUAAUGAUUAAUAGGGAUAGUUGGGGGCAUUAGUAUUCAAUUGUCAGAGGUGAAAUUCUUGGAUUUAUUGAAGACUAACUACUGCGAAAGCAUUUGCCAAGGAUGUUUUCAUUAAUCAAGAACGAAAGUUAGGGGAUCGAAGACGAUCAGAUACCGUCGUAGUCUUAACCAUAAACUAUGCCGACUAGGGAUCGGAUGAUGUUAAUUUUUUAAUGACUCAUUCGGCGCCUUACGGGAAACCAAAGUGUUUGGG